UAGGAUUACAAGCGGGAGCCAUCGCGCCCGGCCUGACGCCUCUUUCUUUAGUGUGUAGCUGGUUUUCUUCUCCCCGACUUCACAUGGUCUUUCCUCCAUGUGCAUACAUAUCUGUGUCCACAUGUCCUUGAUUGAGCCCACCAUAAUGACUGCAUUUUAACUGAAUCACUUUUUUUCUUUUUUUGAGACGGGGUCUCACUCUGUCACCCAGGCUGGAGUGCAGUGGCACAAUCUCGGCUCACUGCAAGCUCCACCUCCUGGGUUCACACCAUUCUCCUCCCUCAACUUCCCAAGUAGCUGAGACUACAGGCGCCUGCCACCACAACUGGCUAAUUUUUUGUAUUUUUAGUAGAGACAGGGUUUCAUCGUGUUAGCCAGGAUAGUCUCAAUCUCCUGACCUCAUGAUCCGCCUGCCUCGGCCUCCCAAAGUGCUGGGAUUACAGGCGUGAGCAAUCAGGCCCAGCCUGAAUCACUUCUUUAAAGACCGAAUCUCCAAAUACAGUUACAUUCUGAGGUACUGGGGUUAGGACUUCAAUAUGUGAAUUUGGAGAGAACGUAAUUUAGUUCAUGCCAUUUUGUGUCACUUUGUGUCUUCUUUUGCUUCCCUUCUCUUUUUUCUCACCUCGCCUUGGGCUUGUAUCUUCCAAAUAAAACACCAAUAGUUUCAUCCUUGACACCAGCUCUGUAGAGAUUUGGGCUAAUGCAACUCUCUGUCACAUACCUGUAGCUUCCUUCCUUUCCCACAAUCUUGCUGCCCCGUCACAGGUAACCAACAUCCUAAACUUGGUCUUUUCACAUAAGUGUUGUGUCUAAAUUAUAUAUUUUUCAGUUUUACCUGUUUCUGAAUGUUUAAAAAGAAUGUAGCUGGGCAUGGUGGCUCAUGCCUGUAAUCCCAGCACUUUGGAAGGC
rnacentral:lncRNA from 10 species